rnacentral:rRNA from 1 species
CUACGGAGGGUGCAAGCGUUAAUCGGAAUUACUGGGCGUAAAGCGCUCGUAGGCGGCUUGUUAAGUCGGAUGUGAAAGCCCCGGGCUCAACCUGGGAACUGCAUUCGAUACUGGCAGGCUAGAGUAUAGUAGAGGCAAGUGGAAUUCCGGGUGUAGCGGUGAAAUGCGUAGAUAUCCGGAGGAACAUCAGUGGCGAAGGCGACUUGCUGGACUAAUACUGACGCUGAGGAGCGAAAGCGUGGGGAGCAAACGGGAUUAGAAACCCCAGUAGUCC